rnacentral:lncRNA from 1 species
GCCAGGCCAGCCCCAAAAUCGCGAGGAGAAGUGCGUAGUCGCCGGUGUGCAAGGGACCGGCAUGGGGCCGCCACCGUGAAGUCUUGGUUCGGUGGUGCCUCUGCCCCAAUUUGAGUCUCCCAUGCAUCGCCGGUGAGAAUAGAAGCUGCCGGUGGGAAGAAUCGCGCGGGGGUGCUGUUGUGGGCUCGGGAAUUUCUCCCCGGAGUCUAGCCGCCACCGUAGAGCCGCGCCUGGCCGGGGCCAGGCUGAAUGCUGCUGCGAUCCACGGUGAGACAUCCUCCAACCAGUUCGUUUAUGCAUUCACUUACGUUUGUGCGCGAUAGGGCUCGGGUGGGGGAGAUCUGCGUCCGAUGAACCCGGAAUUCCACACCGGAGCCUGGACUCGUGGCCAAGCCGCAGUGUGCUGCAGCUAGCUCCCCUCUCCGCCCUCCAACGAUGGUAAGCACCUCCCUCUGGUUCGCAAACCUCCUCUCUUCGUUUAGCGUCGGUCGGAUCGAGAAUUCGAGCACUAGAACCUAGGAUAGAGGGAUCCGUUCAUGGGCGCCGCCGCGGCAGAUUUGUGCGUCGCCGUGUGAGUCGUUUGCCUCGGCCCUGUAGCGUGCGGAGGGUGGGAGAUGAUGUGUAAGCCGUAGAUCUUAGGAUGUGUGGCUUGGAUUGGCUCGCGUGGACUGUUUUGGCCAAACUGAUCUGGUUCGUCCGAUCCAAAUCAUGCGCGUGUGAAUCAACGUGAGCAACUUAAAAUCUGGGACGUCGAUCGUUGAUCCAAGGACUUGCAAGACGUGCCGAUCUGUUAAAAGACCAGUUUAAUCUUCGCCGUGAGUUUUAGAUCCGACGGCCAAGAUCUCUCGAUACCCCUUCGCGAUGGUCAUUUUUCUAAAGAGUCCUCGGGAAAUAAGAAAAUAGAACCCGCCGUCCCAUAUUGAUGUUCACUGUGUCUAGGAUAAGUUACCAGUGAGUCCCUGCAGUUUUCAGUAUUUGAUGCCCCAUCCAGAUAAUUAUAAAAUCAGGAAAAUGAAUUAGAAAAUGAGUUUUUAAUAUAAAAACAAUUCAUAGAAUUGGUAUAAUUCAUAGAAAAUGCAUAUAAACUCCAAAUUGGUCCAUUCCAGUUUCUCAAUUUUCAUAACAUUAUUAUCUAACCAUUAGUGCCUCUGUUUUAACAUGAAAGUCAAUUUAAAAUUUAUCUAUCACAUAAUCUUGUAUUAAGCACAUAAAACAUUAGAAAAUCCAUAACUUAAAAUAUAUAACUCCAAAUUUAAUGAUUCCAGUUCCUGUGAUCAUAUUUUAUUGUCUAGUUUAUUACUGUAUAUUAUAUUUGCAUGUUUGAUGUGAUGUUAAUUUUUGCUAUACUAUGUAUGUAUUGUGUUGAUGCGAGUAGACGAGCAGGCUACACAGGAUUCUGAGGUUCAGCUGGUAGAGAGAGCUGAGCAGGAGCUCGUUGAAGGCAAGUUGUGCCCUUGAUCACUUCUUUUACCCAUUCAUGUUCUUGUUAAUCAUAAUGAUCUGCAUAGGUUAAUUUUGCUGGGACCCAAUAGGUUACCCUAGAUUUGACUAUCUUUAUACCUUGUUUCACCACUGGUUUUACUACUAAAUUUUUGGGUAGUACAUGCUAUUGCUUUAUGUGGAUUUGGGUAUAAAGAUAUUUAUGACUCAUGAUUACACUUUCUAUUAUCUGUUCAUUAUUUUAUGUUCAUGAUAAGAUCAUUAUGUUAAUGGGAACAUGGAGAACCACCCGGGAAAACAGUGCUACCACAAGGGUUUAAUGGGACGCCCUUGGCUGAUUAACUAGGAAAGCUAGUGGAGGGCUGCCUUACCCGAAAGGGGCAAGGGCAGUAGGGGAGUGGUCAGUGUAGGGAGGUCCUUGGGUUGAUUUUGCUGCGAUGGCGGUCAGGCAAGAACCCUGCACUGGAGCUUCCUAUAAACUGUAGCGGGUAGUCUGAAGCUAGUGGAACUUUAUAAAGGCCUCGUAGUGGUACCCUGCCUCGCUUCCUAGGUAGAGGUGUAUGGAGUCUGAUCAACUCCGUGGCAAAUGGGUAACACGACUUGUGGGUAAAGAUGCGCAACCUCUGCAGAGUGUAAAACUGGUAUACUAGCCGUGCUCACGGUCAUGAGCGACUCGGACACUCACAUGAUUAAUUUAUGGAACUUAAACUUAAAUUGUCAUUUCAUUGCAUUUGGGAUUAUUUUAUUAUUACUUUUACUUAUUAUUACUAUGGUUUGGUAUUCACUUACACUUAGUAACUGCUAAUAAAAUUUUGACCAACUUAUAAAAGCAAUGCUCAGCUUCAGCCUUAUAUCAUUGAUCAGCCUUACACUUCAUGAACUCCCACCUUUGGUGAGUUCAUGCCACAUUAUUCCCCACAACUUGUUGAGCGAUGAACGUAUGUGAGCUCACUCUUGCUGUCUCACACCCCCCACAGGAGAAGAACAGGUGGUUCAGGAGGAGCCACAAGGCGAGGAGUUUGAUCUGAUCUAGGUGGCGUUUCUCAGUUGACAUUGGCGCCGACGAUCCUUAGUUCGUUUUAUGUUUAUUCUUUUAUUUUGUAAUAAGUCUUCCGCUAUGUAAUAAAUACUCUGAUGUUUGAUGACAUUUAUCUCUAUACACUCUGUUAUUGUAUAUGUUGUCUUCUUGGCGCAUGUAUGAGAUGCACCCGGCUUUAUUCCUUAAAACCGGGUGUGACAGGCCCCUCCUGGGUCGCUCUUCUGCUUCUAGUCGGAUGGAUCAAAAGAACCG